UGGGGAAUAUUGGACAAUGGGCGCAAGCCUGAUCCAGCCGUGCCGCGUGAGUGAUGAAGGCCUUAGGGUUGUAAAGCUCUUUUGGCGGGGACGAUAAUGACGGUACCCGCAGAAUAAGCCCCGGCUAACUUCGUGCCAGCAGCCGCGGUAAUACGAAGGGGGCUAGCGUUGUUCGGAAUCACUGGGCGUAAAGCGCACGUAGGCGGACCUUCAAGUCAGGGGUGAAAUCCCGGGGCUCAACCUCGGAACUGCCUUUGAUACUGUUGGUCUCGAGUCCGGAAGAGGUGGGUGGAAUUCCUAGUGUAGAGGUGAAAUUCGUAGAUAUUAGGAAGAACACCGGUGGCGAAGGCGGCCCACUGGUCCGGUACUGACGCUGAGGUGCGAAAGCGUGGGGAGCAAACAGGAUUAGAUACCCGUGUAGUCCCUGAGCGGGCUGGCAAGGCGCAU
rnacentral:rRNA from 1 species